rnacentral:lncRNA from 1 species
AAAUUUUUUAAAUAAGUUUCUUUAUUUUUGUUUGUCUCAAUUUAGUUUUUGUAUUGAAAACUUUAAUGCAAUUAAGUUAUUUUCGUUAGUACUACAUAAAUAAAAAUGUGUCAUAUGUUAGUUCGUAAUUUUCUUAUUUUUCUAAUAAAAAAAUAUCAAUUUGUAUAAAAAAAAAUUGUAAAGAUUUAUAUACAAAUUAUAAUUUGUUUGUCUGCCAUUGAAGUGUUGGGAGGAAGUGUGAAAGGGGCUAGCAUUGACUUGAUGUAUUUAAAACUUUGUCAAUAUUGUACAUAGUUAUAUGAAAUGAGUACAAAGUUGGUAGCCUAUUGUUUGAACCAAGGCGAGGUGCGGGGAAUUGUGAGAAAUGUGCCUUAGGAGACUGUGUAAUCACUUACAGGAUAGCUGUAAUCGCUUACCAGAGAAAAUAUUAAGUUUUGUACUGAAAGUUGGUGGCUGCUCCCUAGGUUUUUUGGAGUUGCUCACAAGUGGGUAGCUCGUGAUAAGUUGGGUAGAACUAAGUGUUGUUAGGGCUCACAAGUAGGCUUUUUUGUUUGAACCAAGGCGAGGUGUGGGGAAUUGUGAGAUAUGUGCCUUAGGAGACUGUGUAAUCGCUUACAGGAUAGUUGUAAUCGCUUCCCAGAGAAAAUAUUAAAUGUUGUACCGAAAGUUGGUGGCUGCUCCCUGGGUUUUUUGGACUUGCUCACAAGUGGG